CAUAUUUUCUUCUUUUCUUCCUCUCUCUUCUCUCUGCCAACUCCACCUACCACCCCCGUCCGUCACCAUCGAAAAUCGUUCACCGGCUACCUCCAGUCACCACCAAACUUUCACCCCCCUAAUCUAGACCUCCUCUUUCCGAUUCCAACCUCCAAAUCCUCUAAACCGUCACAAAUCUCCAUGAAUUUAGCAAAAAUUAAAAUCCGAGCCGCCCCUCUUUUUCUCAAAUUCGUGAAGUUCUAGAUCGCUCCAAAACUCCAACAAUAAAUUCUCUGAUCACCCUCACUGUCGCGGCUAACCAAACUACCAUUGUUUCUCCGUCAUAGCUCUUUUCAACCCAAAGUCACUUGUUUCUUCUUGGCAUGACGUUAGGAUCUAUUGAUUUAGUGUCUGGCAAAAUGAAACAUGCGCUGCGGGAUCGGACAAUCAUCACUUAGCAUCCUCGGCAUCUUCUCGUUGCUCGAUUCGACAUCGAAUGUCCCGGAGUUUGAUUCAGGCGUUGUUGAUCCUGCUAGCGAGAGCUGAGAGCUCCCGGCAGACUUCGGAGUUCACGAGGUAGCUGUUUGGCGUCCGCAAUCCCGUGUUUCUCCCCCCUUAUCUCAAUUCUUUUCCCUUAUUAGUGGCUUUGUAAUAGCUUUGUAGACUUUUCAGACUUAUGUUAGAAGUGGUAGAUGCUCGUGACUAGUGAUACCCCGGUAUCAGGUUGUGUUGGUUUUUAUUUCCGCAAACUGUAACGUUCACUGCUUACUCUUGGAUUAUUUACUACGUUUUAGACUUAAUUCUUAUUGUUUAACUGCUUAAAACUGAAAUAGGAAAAGGUCAGUUGGUCGUAUCUUCACGAAAGGCGCCAUCACGAUCGGGUUCGGGUUUAGGGUCGUAAAAGAUUUGUAGCUUCAAAAUGUUUUGUUCUUUAUAGUAAACCUAAUGUUUCCAUGGUA